UNGGAAACUGGAUAACUUGAGUGCAGAAGAGGGUAGUGGAACUCCAUGUGUAGCGGUGGAAUGCGUAGAUAUAUGGAAGAACACCAGUGGCGAAGGCGGCUACCUGGUCUGCAACUGACGCUGAGACUCGAAAGCAUGGGUAGCGAACAGGAUUAGAUACCCUGGUAGUCCAUGCCGUAAACGAUGAGUGCUAGGUGUUGGAGGGUUUCCGCCCUUCAGUGCCGGAGCUAACGCAUUAAGCACUCCGCCUGGGGAGUACGACCGCAAGGUUGAAACUCAAAGGAAUUGACGGGGGCCCGCACAAGCGGUGGAGCAUGUGGUUUAAUUCGAAGCUACGCGAAGAACCUUACCAGGUCUUGACAUCUUGCGCCAACCCUAGAGAUAGGGCGUUUCCUUCGGGAACGCAAUGACAGGUGGUGCAUGGUCGUCGUCAGCUCGUGUCGUGAGAUGUUGGGUUAAGUCCCGCAACGAGCGCAACCCUUGUUACUAGUUGCCAGCAUUAAGUUGGGCACUCUAGUGAGACUGCCGGUGACAAACCGGAGGAAGGUGGGGACGACGUCAGAUCAUCAUGCCCCUUAUGACCUGGGCUACACACGUGCUACAAUGGACGGUACAACGAGUCGCGAACUCGCGAGGGCAAGCAAAUCUCUUAAAACCGUUCUCAGUUCGGACUGCAGGCUGCAACUCGCCUGCACGAAGUCGGAAUCGCUAGUAAUCGCGGAUUAGCAUGCCGCGGUGAAUACGUUCCCGGGCCUUGUACACACCGCCCGCCACACCAUGAGAGUUUGUAACACCCAAAGUCGG
rnacentral:rRNA from 1 species